GAAAACCUUUUAAUAACGAAGGUAUUUAAUAACCGCUAAAACUGAAUGAUGAUGUAAUUAUGUUAUGUAUUGGUUUGUAUGAAAUUAGUUUUAAUAUAGAUUGGAAUUCGGGUAAACUUACCGUUAUUUUAUAUAUUAUUUAAUUUCAAGACAACUGUGAAUACCUAGCGGAAUCCACUCGUGUUUACCAACACAAUCACCC
rnacentral:lncRNA from 1 species